AGUUACGCUGACAUCACCUGUCUAAAUCAAGUGGCUAGUCCAGCUAGUCUAACACGAUAAUUGGUGUCAUAAAAGUUAGUUAAAUCAUAUUGGAUGUCAGUCAAAUCGCUGGUGACAUUCCCAAAUUAGAAGAAGUCGGUGGGGCGGCAACUUUAUUGCGUGGUGAUUGCCACGGCCAUUGUUUCGAUGACACGCCAAAUGGUUUCUGUUUCGAAGACCAUUCCACCUGUCAGCCAAAUGGACAGCAAUCCGAACACACAAUUAUCUGCCAAAUGACGAGGGCGUGUCAGGUGGCGCUUACCAUUUUGGUUCGACUAUAUAUGUAUUUUCUCGUCGGUGGGGGACAGCGUUAUGCCAUUUGAUGUGGACUUCCGAUUGUAGCAAUUAUAUGUAAAUUAAUUAUAGGGUUCAGAUUGGUCCUAAUUGAGACUUGCCUUGCUUUCCAGCUCCAAACCCAACCCUAAACUGCAGCUCACUGCCAUUUGGCAGACUAGUUUUGGCAUGCAAAUUGACAAGUUGUCUACGACUUGGCCCAGACAACUCCAGAUACUCUGUGGCAAAGCCUUUUUCGUAAGUGGCGGAGACAACUCAAUGAGGUCUGCAAAUGUUAUGCUCGAUUGAGGAUCCCCAAACGGCAGACGUUGCAAGUGAGUUAACAUGAAAUGGCAGACUCAGAUACAGAUACAGAUGCAGCUUCGGUCUGAGAUCGAAUUGAAGAUGCAGAUGCAGAUUCAGUUGCAGAUACAGUUGCAAAUGUGCAGCUGCCAGCGAUCGAAGUGGCGCGAUCAUGUGCAAAAACUUUUUUUUUUGAAGGGGGGAGGGGGUAGGGGCACUCUUGGGCGCACUUGACACGAAGAAAUAAUUCCAUUGAGUUGGCAAGUAUGCCGGGAAUCUCGGGCGAGACAAAAUUAGACAAGAAGCGUGAUUUACGGAACCCUUAAAUCACAUGACAACUACACACAGAUCGGCACAGAUCGAGAAUCGAAGAGCAAAUGCGAUGACAAUGUCUGGGCAGCACAUGUGGAUGUGUGGAUUUGGAUGUGGAUGUGGCUGUAGAUGUGGGGAAUGGGAACCAGAAUCGAAAUCGAAAUCAGAAUGGGGCUGGAACUGGGAGGCGGACAAUGGGAAACGAUACUGAUACCGAGUCGAUCGAUCGACGCUUCCCCUUGGCAGACAAACUGAUUUAUGGCAAUGCAAACGGGGACACAUCAGACAUGAAGACAGACAGUUCCCGAGGAGUAAGAGAUCAAAGCAAAUCAGACUGUCUGGAAAGCUUUAUGCCCUGGUAAUUUUAUAUGCUUGUACUGAGAGCUGAUCAUCGAUCACUGAUCACUGAUCACCCAACACCGAUCGUGUGACCAAACUGGGGUAUUUCCAGUCAAU
ensembl:ncRNA lncRNA:CR44039 long non-coding RNA:CR44039